rfam:Vibrio rumoiensis 1S-45 1S-45_contig_72, whole genome shotgun sequence.
AAAGAAGUAGUAUGCCGCAGCGUAUCCUCGACGGGCUUUGCUGCGGAUAAUUCUUUUAUAUAAGUACUAGGAGUGAAUAGUGGCCCGUAUAGCAGGCAUUAACAUUCCUGAU